AUCGUCCAGCGCUAAUUGCGCCUCUCUCUCUCUCUGCAACAAAUUAGCCAGUCGAAUAUGGUCAAUCACAAGUGAGUAUCUCUUUGAUUGCCUGCUUUUCGUGGGAUGAACAAGUUCUUUCUGAAUUAAAUAAACUAAAGGAUUGUUUGCUAGACCUUUUUCGAGGGCAUAAAAUAAAUCAGGUCUUCUGGUCCUGCCUUUGACAUCUGGGCAGCAAAUUUAGCUCUAAUAUUUGCCCCCAACAACUUGGUUCAUGCGUGGAUAAAAAAUAUUGUCUCUCUCUUUGUCUGUGAAGUCAUCAUAUUAUGAUGUGAUAUUGGCUUGCUCUUUGGUCUGAUUUAUUAAUGUGCAAAUACGACUGCGAAAACAUAUACAAUCCCUUGCCUCAUUUGAUAGAUGAACUACAUUGUAAAUAUGAAGCUAUCAGACUACCAACAGAACCGGAAAUUAUUAUGCUUGAUUUCUUUUCUGGAUUUUCUGACUUUUGAAGGCUCAUUUCAAAUACAGACAUUAUUGCAAUUGACCUGGAGUUCUCUGUGACACGAUCUAUACUAUUUUAUUCCUAUCUAGGCAUCAUUAUACUUGAUCUGGAAACUUCGAUGCAGCAUAGCAAGUAUUUGAAGAAUCUGAUAUGAUAUAAGAAGCUCAUAAAUCUGCGAAGGACCAUUGAGGCGGUAAACCUAGAGGCCAUCCAUUUUCUAUAGAUGAUAAAACCUCAUAGUAUACUAUGCCUGCUGUCCAUUGCUGAAUGUUGUUAAUGUUUGAAGCUCUGCUAUGUUCCUUUGUACUGACAGCAUGCCAUUGAAGGUGAGUUUGGUCUAAUGGCGUUUAAACUGAACUGUAUAAUGUCUGACUAAUUGUGUAGGUGUCUGCUUAUAGUUUUACUGCUUGAGACUGUAAAUCCAUUUGUUUUUCUUUUUUUUUUCUAUUUCUUUUUCACGUGUUUGUCAAGAAUCAGAAGUCAAGGGUGUACUCCAAACGUUUCCAAGUCAAGCUCAAAAGAAGGCGAUGUAAGUUUGAUCAAUCCCGUGACAUGGUGAAUUUGGCACUACAGUCAUAAGAUGGCAUUGUUUUGGAUGGACUGCUUUCUUUGGUACACUUGUUGCAGAGGGUAAGGCUGAAUACAGGGCCAGGUUGAGGCUCAGCGACCAGGACAAGAACAGAUCUUCAAUUUGGUGCUCCUCCACGCUCCUCUUUUGAUUAGAUUUUCCAGUGCGGUAAUUGGAUCAAGUUCAGAACAUCUACAGUAUGUCUAUGGAAAUAUGGAUUUGUCUGUUAAGAUUUUAGUAGAGGGAUUUGUGUUAAGAUUUUAGUAGAGUAAUUGGAUCUGAAGUUCACAACCUAUGUAAUGUACUGAUGCGUUGGUUAUGUACGAAAUACAAUGUUCAGUCAAGAUCUA